AUGGACGACACCCUGGCCAACAUACGGAAGAAGCUGAAGCGGCUGAAGAAGGGCAAGGACGAGGAUGACGCCGUCGACGCCCCUGCGGAUCCCGACGGCGGCGAGGCCGUCGCCGUCGCCGCCGGGCCGGAAGAUCUGCCGGGCGGCGGCGAUGUCGAGGACAUGGGCGAGGGCGUCGCCGACGAGGGCGGCGACCUGGAGGCCGUCGCGAAUGUGGUUCCUGGGGAGGACGGCUUGAAAGCCCCCGGUGGUGAUCUAGGGUUGGGGGAUGGCUUGAAAGGUCCCGGCGGUGAUUUAGGGUUGGGGGACUCCCUGUCGGUGCUCUUCAGGAAGCCUGGCCGCAAGACUCGGCAGCAGGCCUCGAAGGAUGAGGAGGCAGAGGGCGUGGAGGCUGCCGAUUCGCAGGCAGAGGAGGCUCUCAAUGGCGGAUCUGGUGGCCUGGCUUCGGAUGAGACUGCCAAGGGCACCAAGAAGAGGCGGAGGCGGCGCACCAAGGCGGAGAUGGAGGAGAUGAGGGCCGCCCUCGCCGCUGAGAAUUACGACAACGCAAUGGCAGGCGAUGGGUCUCCCAGGAGGAGGUCAAGGGCGAAGCCAAAGGCUGCUUAUUCUGAUAGGCGUUCUAGGGCUGCCGCCCGUCGAGCCGUUGAAGAAGUGCCCGUUGGAGAAUUGGCGGCCCCUGAGCCUCCCCCUGAUUUGGAAAGGAAGCCCGAUGAGAAAGAAGAGGCUGUGGAUAAAGAAGAGGCUGCAGAUGAUGGUUUAUCACUGGGAGAGACGCUUCUGCAAGACGUGGAAACCAGCAGAGUUGUGGAGGGUGGAUCUAGAAACUCUUCUGAUGGGGCAAGUCAUUGUGUCGAAGUUCCAGCAAGGGCUGAUAACUGCAUUGCCUUAAAUCCUUGUUCAGGAGGAGAACCUGCUGAAAAAGCAUCUCACAGUGCAGCAAAUGCAUCCGCUGAUGGUGUUUCUGAUGCACAGACAUGCUCCAAAACCUUGGCAGAGGAUAUAAAUGCCGAUGCAGGUUUUUCUCAAGAUAAGCCACCUGCACCAACCAUCAAAAGGAAACCUGGUCGAAAACCAAAAGAAGCCCCCAAGAAACCUGUUAGAAGGAAGGAGUUGCCUUCGGUUAGUGCUGAUGCUAAACCAGUUGAGAUAGCAGAAAGUGAUGCGUCGUCGAAGCAGCGGCGGCGCAAAAAUAAAUUUCUCUUGGCAAGGUCUACCGCUGUGCAGUCUAAUUCCUCGCUGGACAAUAAAGCAGGUAGUACAGGCGACGUUAAAUAUGGCAAUAUCAAACCAAAUGCAGCUGUGCCAACAGAAGAAAGCUUAGAUCAGCCAGCUGCUUAUGGGGUUCAUGGGUCCCGUGCCGCCAAGGAUUCACGUGCCUCUCAUAACAUGGCAGCAUCUGCAAAAGAAAUCAAUAUCAUUGACGUGGCAGCGCCAUCCAAUUUUGAGGACAUGGAGAAUGCAUCAAAGGUGAAACGCCUAACACGGAAUACUAGGAAACGUAAACAUGGUGACAUGGCAUAUGAGGGAGAUGAUGAUUGGGAAACUCUGAUGCAUGAGCAGGGGCUGUUCUCAAACCCCUCAGCAGGUUUUGCAGAUCAAUCUGUCAAACCAAAAGAUAAAAUUAAAGCGCUGGAAGUUCUUGAGAAUCAAGGUGUUGCUGCUGUAAGUGCUGGCCUAAUGGCGGAGGCUGUUUCUCCAAUGGAAAAGAUAAAAUUCAAGGAUGUCCUGAAGCGGAAGGGUGGCCUUAAGGACUACCUGGAGUGCAGGAACAUGAUCCUAAGUUGCUGGAACAAGGAUGUUAAACAUCUAUUGGAUCUUGCCGAUUGUGGUCUUUCUAAUGCUCCCAUGGAAGAUGAUUCACCACGUCAAACACUUAUACGUGACGUGUACUGUUUCUUAGAUCAGAAUGGUUACAUAAAUGCUGGAAUCGCAUCAGCCAAGGCGACAAAGGGUCAUGGAAUUCCUUGUUCCGAGGUUGUGGAAGUAGCCAAGUUAAAUGAAUUACCUAAAAUGGAGCAAGUCAGGGUUGAAGGUGACGUUGUUGCUGUAUCUCUCCAGAAUAAAGAUGAUGAUUAUGGUGCUUUGGGACCUUUGACAGAAGAAUCGAAGGAAAAUAAUGUCCCUGACGCUCAUUGCGAUGCCCAAGAGUUGAUACCUCACUUACAGUCCAAAGAACAGGCAUCUGAAGAAAAGAAUCUAGAUGUAUCAACUGAAGGUGGAGAUGCAUUUCUACCACCGAUCAAUAUUACUUCAGUUGGAAACACUGAAGGCCCCAGUCUCGAUAAACCAGAAGCAGCUGUUAUCGAACAUCCUGGAAACAACUGUGAGGUAAAUCAUAAAGUUGAAUCUGGAGGGCGCUGCAAAAAGAUAAUCAUUGUGGGAGCUGGUCCGGCCGGUUUAACUGCAGCACGCCAUUUGCAGCGUCAAGGUUUUGCUGUCACUGUUCUUGAAGCACGUGAUAGGAUUGGUGGUCGUGUUUAUACAGACCGUACAUCGCUUUCAGUUCCUGUGGAUUUGGGUGCUAGCAUUAUUACAGGUGUGGAGGCUGAUAUAGCAACUGAACGAAGGGCUGAUCCAUCCUCUUUGAUUUGUUCUCAGCUUGGUCUUGAACUGACUGUACUGAAAAGUGCUUGCCCUCUCUAUGAUGUAGUAACUGGCAACAAGGUUCCCGAUGAAUUGGAUGAUGAGUUGGAAUCUGAAUACAACGGCCUUCUUGAUGAAAUGGAACAACUUUUUGAACAAAAUGGUGAAAGUGCACUGGGUUUAUCCCUUGAGGAUGGGUUGGAAUAUACUCUUAGGAAGAAACGUGCAUCCCAUGUUGUUUCUUCUGUGGGACAUGAUGGUCAGUUAAUAAGUAUGUCCAAUAGAGGAGGUGUAGACAUUUCCAAAAGUGCUUCAACAGAAAAGGAGAUAGCUCAUUGUGGGGAGGAUGGUGAGAUAGAUGUUCUCAGCCCUCUUGAAAGAAGAGUUAUGAACUGGCACUUUGCACAUUUAGAGUACGGUUGUGCUGCAAUGCUCAAAUCUGUCUCUCUUCCGUACUGGAACCAAGAUGAUGUGUAUGGAGGGUUCGGAGGACCUCAUUGCAUGAUUAAAGGUGGUUAUGGCGCUGUUCUUGAGAGCCUUGCAGAAGGACUUGAUGUUCAGUUAAAUCAUGUUGUAACUGAAGUAAUGUACAGGCCUGAGGAGUCAGAUGCUAGUGGCAUCAAUGGGAAAACUGUUAAAGUUUCCACUUCGAAUGGAGCUGAAUUUGUGGGAGAUGCUGUGUUGAUCACUGUUCCUCUUGGGUGCUUGAAAGCACAUGCAAUCAAAUUUUCUCCUUCCUUGCCGGACUGGAAAACAUCUUCCAUUGACAGGCUUGGAUUUGGUGUUCUAAAUAAAAUAGUAUUGGAGUUUCCUGAGGUCUUUUGGGAUGAAAAUGUGGAUUAUUUUGGUGCAACUGCGGAACAAACAGAUUUAAGGGGACAAUGCUUUAUGUUUUGGAAUCUCAAAAAGACAGUCGGCGCACCAGUUAUAAUAGCUCUACUUGUUGGGAAGGCUGCUAUAGAUGGACAGAGUAUCAGUUCUGAUGCUCAUGUUAGCCAUGCUAUGGUGGUUCUCCGUAAGCUCUUUACGGAUGCUGCUGUACCAGAUCCAGUGGCAUCAGUUGUCACAAAUUGGGGCCUUGAUCCUUUUAGUAGAGGUGCUUACUCUUAUGUUGCAGUAGGAGCAUCAGGUCAAGAUUAUGACAUCAUAGGACGGCCAGUUGCAAACUGUUUAUUUUUUGCUGGGGAAGCAACAUGCAAAGAGCAUCCAGAUACUGUUGGUGGUGCAAUUUUAAGUGGUCUUCGAGAAGCAGUUCGGAUUAUUGACUUGGUACACAGUGGUAAGGAUUAUGUGGCUGAGGUGGAAGCUCUACAAACAUACCAGGUGCAGUCAGAUAGUGAAAGAAAUGAAGUCAGAGACAUGUCAAAUAGACUUGAAGCACGUGAACUGUCAACUGCUCUAUGCAAAAACUCAUCUGAUGCAUCAUAUGCAGUAGCUAGCAAGGAAUCUGUACUGCAAGAAAUGUUUUUCAGUGCGAACACUACACCAGGGCGCCUACAUUUGGCCAAGGAGCUACUGAAACUCCCUCCAGAUGCUCUUAAAUCAUUCGCUGGGUCUAAAGAAGGGCUAACUAAACUGAACUCUUGGAUACUUGAUUCACUGGGAAAAAAUGCAACUCAACUGUUGCGGCAUUGUGUACGCUUGCUUUUGCUUGUUUCGACCGAUCUGGUAGCUGUUCGCUUGUCUGGAAUUGGGAGGACUGUAAAGGAAAAGGUCUGUGUGCAUACUAGUCGAGAUAUUCGUGCCAUAGCUCGCCAGUUGGUCAGUAUGUGGAUAGAAGUUUUCCGUAAAGAAAAGGCUAGCAACGGUGCUCUCAAAAUGCUGCGCCGAUUGCCAUCAGUUGAAUCGAGCAAGACUAGGAGUAAGGAUCUACAUUCAGGAAUGCGCACUUCGCAUGUGCCAAAUGAAGCAGGUGCACAGCGUGUAAGAUCUGCUGGGAGCCAUUCACCUCACAGAACUGGCAAGAAGCCUGACAAGAUUGUGAAAUUAUCUAGUAUAAUGGCUACAAAAUCUGAUGGCUGCUCACUUCGUUCCCAGAAGCAACACCAUGAUCUGGAACCCAAGGCUGAUCAAGGCAUGGUUAUGUCUGAGGAAGAAGCUGCUGUAUUUGCUGCUGCGGAGGCUGCUCGAGUUGCUGCCAUAGCAGCUGCACAGGCAUAUGCAUCCGCAGAGGCAGUGAUAAGUAAGCCUCGGGAGCUCCCAAAGAUACCAUCAUUUGGAGAUUUUGCAAGGCGUGAUCAUCAUUUGGACGAAUCUGAUACAAGAAAGAAAAUGACAAGUGACAAGCAUGGGAGACUUGAAUGCAUAUCGGAGAUUGAUUCCAGGAAUGGCAAAACUAAGAACUCAUCAGCUGAGCACGCCAAUUGUCCUGAUGUUGACAGCUCGAAAAUGACUGUUGAUAACUGUACCCAGAGGAGCUAUUCAAACGAGAAAGCCUGCCUAAUUAAUAUUAAGGACAAUUCUGCAGAGAGUGGAGCUGUAGACAGUCGUUUUACUAGGGCAUGGGUUGAUACUGAUGCAGUCUCCAUUGAUGGUGUCAAACAUCCCAUAGCCAUUGAGAGGUGGCAAGCACAAGCAAUGGAAGCAGAUAAAGAAUUCUACAGUCGGAUACGCAUACCCAUGGAGGAAGGUUCAGGUAGCCAAAAGCAGACAUGCAAAAGUUCUGCCUCGCAGGUUGCGGAAAGCAAACCUGCAUCAGAAGGACAAUCCCGAGGUGUAGAACAUAUAAAACAGGGGCUGAUAGCUUUCAUUAGCACACUACUGAUGCCACUGUACAAAAGUAAAAAGAUCGACAGGGAGGCAUACAAGACAAUGAUGCGGAAAGCUGUCACAAAGAUAAUUGAUGCAUGCACUGAGGGAGAGAAGCUGAUGACUGCCAAUGAAUUUCUUGAUUUUAGAAGGAAAACUAAGAUUCAAACAUUUGUGGAUAAGUUGGUCGAGAGGCAUUGGCAUGUGGCUCCAGCCCCCAAAUCAUAG
rnacentral:rRNA from 1 species